rnacentral:lncRNA from 1 species
AGCUACGGUUUCAUUAUUUGGGGUUUCCGUGCGGACCACAUGGGGUUGGAGAUGGGCCGGGCUUAUGUGGCGCCGGACUUCCCGAUUGUUUGAAGCCGGUUUUAGGCACCCGGAUGGAUCAUUUUUUUACGAGUGAGUGAUGACCGCUCCGCUCGCUAUGGUGUUUAAGAUGGAUUUGAGAAAUCUGAGUGCAGAUACUCUUAGGCCAUCUCAGGCCAUCUCCAAACCCGUUUGUGCAUGGAUAAUGAGUCUGGACAGAGAUGGCGUUGAAGAUAGUGGAUACGACAGCCGGUCAGCAAAAGAGAGCCUUUAACGUCUAUUAUUAUUAUUGUUGUUGUUGUUGUUGUUGUUAUUGUUGUUGUUAUUAUUGUUGUUGUUGUUUCAGAACACUCAGAAUAAUGUAGGAAUAUUACAGUUCAUCUAUUAAUAACAUCUACUAAUAACAUGUAAAUAUGCU